GUACACGCUGUGACUAGCAUAUCAAUAAGCGGAGGAAAAGAAACUAACAAGGAUUCCCCUAGUAACGGCGAGUGAAGCGGGAAGAGCUCAAAUUUGAAAUCUUAAAGGGUUUCCCUUUACGAAUUGUAGUUUAAAGAAGUGUUUUCUGUUGAGGUUUUGGUAAAAGUUCUUUGGAAUAGGACAUCAUAGAGGGUGAGAAUCCCGUAUUUGACCUUUACUUUCAACUUUGUGAUACACUUUCAAAGAGUCGGAUUGUUUGGGAAUGCAGUCCAAAAUGGGUGGUAAAUUUCAUCUAAAGCUAAAUAUUGGCGAGAGACCGAUAGCGAACAAGUACCGUGAGGGAAAGAUGAAAAGAACUUUGAAAAGAGAGUUAAACAGUACGUGAAAUUGUCAAAAGGGAAGCGUUUGACACCAGUGUUGUUUUUCUGAAAAUCAAUUAAAGAACUGUUUAUGCUAAGUUGUUUAGACUUUAUCAGCUAACUGUUUAGUUUUGAGCUUUUCUUUAAUGCACUUUUCAGUUAACAAGUCAACAUCAAUUUCUUUUGCUGUAAAAAAGCUUGAGGAAGGAUGGCUUGAGAUUCGUCUUAAGUGUUUAUAGCCUCUUGCCUAUGCAGUCGGAGAGAUUGAGGUCUGCAGCGUAGAUCCUUCGGGGCUAAAUGCAUUUGUGCUAAGUUAUAGCAUUUCAUAGACAACUUGUUGACUAUGAUUUGUCUUGUAGCUUACUCGCCUAUGUUAUUUUACCUACGCUUAGGAUGUUGACGCGCGUGUGUGCGUG
rnacentral:rRNA from 1 species